UUUCCCAAAGGAAGGCAUAGCUUCAAGAUCAAGCAUUUGAAGACCUACAGCAAAGAGGGUGGAGGAACAGGUUUUACGGGACUGAUGUCCUUCCUACAACCAGUGCAGUUGCAGAAAGGGUCAAUGCUGUGUGAGCCAUAACCCACAGGAGUUGGAAGGAUGUUAGAGAAAAAAAAGGACCCGAAAACCUUAAGGAUCUGAAUGAGAGCUACAUCCAGGGAUGCUAGUAUAUUAUCUACAGAUCAUUUCAAACUUUUGUUACUCGUUCGAGUGAAAUAUUUGACUGAGUGCAGCAUCAAGGAGGGCAAAAUUGAAGUCAAGAGCAAUCAAGGGGAAAGCUCUCGACAAUUCGGAUUGAUACCUAAUACAAAGGAAUAUGGUCUGAACUUCAAAUAUCUUUCCUCAUAACUCACCCUGUUUACACAUUCAAGUUUUAUCUUCAAAAGUGAACCAUGCACCAAAAGAUAAAAACCAGACAUACAGUACCAAUGGUUACGCAUGGAUGAUAAUGUAGUGCAAAAUGAUGAAACAGGAAGUAGCACGUAUUUCACAAAUCAAAGGAAAUUUGGGAAGCAGGAAACAUCUGCAAUUGAAGCAUCAACAGUUUGUUACACCACAAUCUGGUGGAUAAAAACUUUAAAGUAACAUUCAGGGAAUUCACAGAAUUGUUACAAUGCAGGAGGCUGCCAUUUGACCCAUCUAAAAUUAAAUAUGGUUGCACUGAGACAAAAUAUAUGAUGUUAUUAAGAACAGAAUGAUAUAGCAACUGAACUAGGUUUCAUGUCUCUCCUAAAGCCUUAUUAGAGAUGAAGGAGCAUUGCACAAUCUGAAGCCACACCCAGGAUCUGAACACAACCGAUUUUCAUGCAUUUCUGCACAAUUGCUGAAUGAGAUGCCACAGAUUACCAGAUUGGACACCUGCUGUACAAUCAUUUUGCUUAUACAAGUACAAGCAAACACAUGGAAGAAGAAUAGGCCAUUCAUCUCAUCAAACUUUU